rnacentral:rRNA from 1 species
GUCUCAGUCCCAGUGUGGCCGGUCACCCUCUCAGGCCGGCUACCCGUCGUCCCUUGGUAGGCCAUUACCCCACCAACAAGCUGAUAGGCCGCGGGCUCAUCCUUCACCGCCGGAGCUUUUAACCCCGUCCCAUGCGGGACAGAGUGUUAUCCGGUAUUAGACCCCGUUUCCAGGGCUUGUCCCAGAGUGAAGGGCAAAUUGCCCACGUGUUACUCACCCGUUCGCCACUAAUCCACCCCGAAAGGCUUCAUCGUUCGACUUGCAUGUGUUAAGCACCCCGCCAGCGUUCGUCCUGAGCCAGGAUCAAACU